rfam:Candidatus Magasanikbacteria bacterium RIFCSPHIGHO2_01_FTLL_50_8 rifcsphigho2_01_scaffold_92596, whole genome shotgun sequence.
GCCCGGAUGGCGGAAUUGGUAGACGCACAGGACUCAAAAUCCUGCGAUCGUAAGGUCAUGAGAGUUCGAUUCUCUCUCCGGGCA